GAGAGAAUCAUCGAUGUGAAAUAUGUCAGCAAUAUCCUCUACAAGGAAAUUAAAAUACCUAUGAAUUUUCACAGGAAAAUUAGGGAGAUUAAUAAUGAUUUAAGGGCCAAAAUCUUUUAUUAUUUUUAUUUUAUUUUUUUUUUUUCCAGAGCAUUGUUCAGCUCUGGUUUAUGGUGGUGUGGGGGAUUCACCUUGGGACCUGAGAGCCUCAAGCAUCAGAGUCAGUUUGCAUAACCAUCAGGCUAUCUUCCCACCCAAGGGCUAAAAUCUUCAAAUGGCAAAACAACUAUCUCUCCAACUAUCUCUCCUUUAAAAAUCAUAGGCCAUAUUAUUUUAAAGGUUUUUUUUUUUUUCUUCAGGUUAGAGAAGAUUUUUCUGGAAGUGACAAUGACUUGGAAGGAGUCUGUCUCAAGUAACAGUGAUACAAAUGAAGGAGUUUGGGACUAUCAGCAUACGAAUGAUGUCAGCCUCAGGAGGGAACACAGAGAAGGGAAUAUAUAAAAGCUCGGAUUUGGAGCAGCUGGCUUUUUGGCAGCAUCUUCUUCUGGUCAGAAGUAUCUCGGCGGAGGUGCUCCAGGUAAAAUUGGUCUGUGUCCUUGAAUGAUCUUUGAAUGUUGCUGUUGGAAGAUGAUGCUGGAAGAUACAGGCAUACAUUUUGGACAUUAAAGUAUGCCUGUGCUCAAGUUCCUUAUAUCUAGCCUUCAGUAUUCAAGUUUGGC